rnacentral:rRNA from 1 species
CUACGGGGCGCACCAGUGGGGAAUAUUGCACAAUGGGCGCAAGCCUGAUGCAGCCAUGCCGCGUGUAUGAAGAAGGCCUUCGGGUUGUAAAGUACUUUCAGCGGGGAGGAAGGGAGUAAAGUUAAUACCUUUGCUCAUUGACGUUACCCGCAGAAGAAGCACCGGCUAACUCCGUGCCAGCAGCCGCGGUAAUACGGAGGGUGCAAGCGUUAAUCGGAAUUACUGGGCGUAAAGCGCACGCAGGCGGUUUGUUAAGUCAGAUGUGAAAUCCCCGGGCUCAACCGGGGAACUGCAUCUGAUACUGGCAAGCUUGAGUCUCGUAGAGGGGGGUAGAAUUCCAGGUGUAGCGGUGAAAUGCGUAGAGAUCUGGAGGAAUACCGGUGGCGAAGGCGCCCCCCUGGACGAAGACUGACGCUCAGGUGCGAAAGCGUGGGGAGCAAACAGGAUUAGAUACCCGUGUAGUC